CCAUGCCCAGCCAUAGCUAGACUUUUUCCAGUCCCUUUCUAACUUCUAGUAUGUAGACAGGGGUCACAUGGUAUGGAACUUGCCCUGCUGAAAGCCAAUAAAAGCAAGCAACCCUUCUGAUUCCUUAUAAAUAAAGGGUCAGACUCUCCUUUCCAGGGAGUGGCUCAAAGCUCCAAUUCUUCUAAUCUCAGGGACACCAAGUGGCAUUGAAAGCACUUUUUCUUCAGGACCCUAUCAUGCUACCCAUGAUGACUAUCUCCACUAAUGAAGCUGUUCCUGAGACCUGAAGACCUGCUCUCCCACUCCAGGCCAGGAUGCUAUAACUCUACCGAUAAAACUCAUAUGUAGGGUGUGGACAUGCUACACUCUUAACCUCCCACCACCAUGGACCAAGCUGUGCCAGCCAUCAUGCCUUCCAUGCCAUGAUGGAACCAUGAGCCAAAAAUAAAGGUCUUCUUUAAGUUGCUUCCAUCAA